CAACCUCAACUCAUAUGGGACUACCCCCUGAAUUUAAGCAUAUUAAUUAGGGGAGGAAAAGAAACUAACAAGGAUUUUCUUAGUAGCGGCGAGCGAAAAGAAAUCAGUUCAGCACUAAGUCACUUUGUCUAUAUGGCAAAUGUGAGAUGCAGUGUAUGGAGCGUCAAUAUUCUAGUAUGAGAAAUUAACGAUUUAAGUCCUUCUUAAAUGAGGCCAUUUACCCAUAGAGGGUGCCAGGCCCGUAUAACGUUAAUGAUUACUAGAUGAUGUUUCCAAAGAGUCGUGUUGCUUGAUAGUGCAGCACUAAGUGGGUGGUAAACUCCAUCUAAAACUAAAUAUAACCAUGAGACCGAUAGUAAACAAGUACCGUGAGGGAAAGUUGAAAAGAACUCUGAAUAGAGAGUUA
rnacentral:ncRNA from 1 species